rnacentral:rRNA from 1 species
CAUGAGUUAUGUCAUGUUAUCGACAUGUGAAUUCAUAGCAUGUCAGAAGGCAGACCCGGAGAACUGAAACAUCUUAGUACCCGGAGGAAGAGAAAGAAAAAUCGAUUCCCUGAGUAGCGGCGAGCGAAACGGGAAGAGCCCAAACCAACAAGCUUGCUUGUUGGGGUUGUAGGACACUCUAUACGGAGUUACAAAAGAACAUGUUAGACGAAUCAUCUGGAAAGAUGAAUCAAAGAAGGUAAUAAUCCUGUAGUCGAAAACAUAUUCUCUCUUGAGUGGAUCCUGAGUACGACGGAGCACGUGAAAUUCCGUCGGAAUCUGGGAGGACCAUCUCCUAAGGCUAAAUACUCUCUAGUGACCGAUAGUGAACCAGUACCGUGAGGGAAAGGUGAAAAGUACCCCGGAAGGGGAGUGAAAGAGAACUUGAAACCGUGUGCUUACAAGUAGUCAGAGCCCGUUAAUGGGUGAUGGCGUGCCUUUUGUAGAAUGAACCGGCGAGUUACGAUCUGAUGCAAGGUUAAGCAGCAAAUGUGGAGCCGCAGCGAAAGCGAGUCUGAAUAGGGCGUUGAGUAUUUGGUCGUAGACCCGAAACCAGGUGAUCUACCCUUGGUCAGGUUGAAGUUCAGGUAACACU